rfam:Hordeum vulgare subsp. vulgare, WGS project CAJW01000000 data, contig: morex_contig_1568672
UUGAUGCAAAUAAGGAGUCACAAUUUUUGUGGGUAAUUUGCGUCUGAGGCAUCUCAAUGAUGUUACCAUCUUUUCACCUUGGAGAUCUGAUGCAUCCA